GGAGGAAAGCAGGGGAUCGCAAGACCUUGCGCUCUUGGAGUGGCCGAUGCCUGAUUAGCUAGUUGGUGGGGUAAGAGCCUACCAAGGCGACGAUCAGUAGUUGGUCUGAGAGGACGACCAGCCACACUGGGACUGAGACACGGCCCAGACUCCUACGGGAGGCAGCAGUGGGGAAUUUUGGACAAUGGGCGAAAGCCUGAUCCAGCAAUGCCGCGUGAGUGAAGAAGGCCUUCGGGUUGUAAAGCUCUUUCAGUCGAGAAGAAAAGGUCGCGACUAAUAAUCGCGACUCAUGACGGUAUCGACAGAAGAAGCACCGGCUAACUACGUGCCAGCAGCCGCGGUAAUACGUAGGGUGCGAGCGUUAAUCGGAAUUACUGGGCGUAAAGGGUGCGCAGGCGGCUUUGUAAGUCAGAUGUGAAAUCCCCGGGCUUAACCUGGGAAU
rnacentral:rRNA from 1 species